UUCAUUUUUUUUUGUUUCCCACGGUAUCCCCCAACCCGACAGGUUAAGAACUAAUCCGUCGCGGAUCUGAGCUCCAUUUAAGGGUCUGUCGUUGGCCAAUAGGUUGCUGUAUGCACAAGGCGAGAUUCGAACCCCCGACACUUACUAUGUCGAUAAUGUA